GAUGCUGCCGUGGGCCAAGGCGAACCUGAACCCCACCGGCCAGGCGCUCAUCGUCUGCACCGUCGCCGGGAUGGCAUACUUCGUCGCCGCCGACAAGACCAUCCUGUCGUUGGCGAGGAGGCACUCGUACGAGAGCGCGCCCGACCACCUCAAGGACACCUCCUUCCAUGGCGCCGCCGCGGUUCGUCCGGCAUUCUUAAGGCCAUGAGCUAAUGCAUGCAUCGAUCGUCGUGAGUGUCCCAGAAACUGCUCCUGCAGGCAUGCAUAUCUACUAUCAUCAUGUUCAUCCGGGUAUGUUCUUUAGGCCAUGAAUAUCUACUAUCAUCAUGUUUUAUAUUCAUGACAAAUCCGGGAGUAGAUAUCCGGGUAUGUUCUUUAUGCACAUCGAUCAUACGAUACAAAUUGUUUGAAUUCAACAGUUCAAGACAAAUCAAAACAAAUGAUAAUUCAACAAUCCGGACAUGCCAACAUGGUCCGACGGUGCAAUUCGCGUCGACGGAAUGAUGGACGGGAUGCGGGGUUCCUGCCGCGGCGAAGGGAGGGGGAGGGGGGGAGCUGCUAUUUCAUAUUCGCAGCUCCCUACGAUGCCGCCGCCGCAUCUUCAGGGUGAUAUUCUCCGGCAUGCACGACGAAGUCGAGGAUCGGACAUCGACGAACGAGGCGGUCACAGCCUCCGACAAGGCGGUUGGGGAUGAACUGGACGUUAUCUACGACGAUGGAUAGAAGCCGGUGUUGAGGAUGGCAAGCAAGGGGGCGGGAUGGCGAGGGCUUGGGCACGGUAAUGGCAGUAGGGAGGCGGGGGAGGACGAAGGGUUUGGUACAUUUUGUGUAAAUUAUGAUGGGGUCGGGCUAUCGCGUCCGACAUGGCGGGCACGUACGUGAGUCCCCAUAUCCGCCCCAUAUUUGGGUUGUAUAUGAGGGGUGAGGAUCAGCCUCGGCGUUUGAGUCUCAGUUUAAGAAGUCCGGGUCGCUUUUCUGUGACUAGUCACUAACCGGGCGUUUGAGAGGGGGUUAAGAGGUCCGGCUGUAAGAGCAUCUACAAUCGGACCCCUCAAACCCCCGGGCAGUCCGCUCGAUCACUGCCCGAUCACAAAAUUGUGAUCCGGACGGGCCUCUCAAACCGACCUAAAACGUCCGGGCUGACUCUGACCUCCCAUUUUCAACCCAAAUAUGAGGCGGAUAUGGGGGAGCCCGGGCACGCCGAGGCACGCCUGCCAUGUCGUGCUCACGGCUUGGCCCCAGGCGGACUCGCCGGGAAACAUGACAGCCUGAGGGGCGCCUUGUCCGUCGGUGCAGUGUGAACGCCGCAUGGCGCCGCUCCGGGUCCCUGCCCGAGGUCGGGGCCGACUAUGAUGCAGGCGGAGCAGACAUUCCAAAUGCAGGCGGAGAUGAUUGCCGAGGCGGAAAAUGACAAGUUGGACGAGCAGGGAUGCAUGGAUGAAUUUGUUCACCUAAUGAUCAAAAAGGCAUCCCUUGUCGCUCGGACAUUAAUUUUAUUUUACCAUGUCCAGCUUGUCGAACUAUGAUUUCAUUUGAUUUUGUUUUAAAAUACGGUUUUGCUAAAACUCAUUCAGCUGAGAUUUUUUUUGGUCUCAUUCACUUUUUUAACCCUAGGAUUCAAUCACAUCCGGAUUUGAGUUUUGUAGAAGUGACGAGUCGCCUCGCGAUGAGGCUGCCCAUCUAUUCGCCUCGCCGCACCUUUUUCCCGUGAUGGGCUUUUGUCCGCUGGACUUGUGUGGGCUUAUGACAGUUAUGUUAGUUCUUUUUUCUCUUUAUACUAGGCCAUAGGGAACAAGCGACUUUUUUUUCCUGCAUUUUGGUUUUCUUUGUUGUUUCAUUUUUUAUCCAUUAUUCCUAUUUUACCUUUAUUUUUUCAAUAUUUAUCAUUUUCUACUUUGUUUUCAUUGUUUGGUUGGAAGAGAACAUUUAAAGAUUUUUUAAACUAAUUUCUACUAAGAUGAAAUUUGGUUAACUUUUUAAAUGUACUAGAAAAUAAUUUUUUUAUACUUGUAUUUUGUGUUCCCAGAUUUUCUUUCUCAUUAGGCAGUGCGAUCACAAAGAUAUUACAAUUGACAUCGAACGAGGAUUAUCGGGCUAGUUGUAUGUCUAACAUUAGACAUGCAACUUCAAACAUUUAUAACUCAGCCGCAAUUGCAUUGAGUGCAAGACACUGCAAUUGGGGUCGGGACGGGGUUUGUCGGACCAGUUGUAUGUCCAUUACUAGACAUGCAACUUCAAGCAUUGGAACCCGACUGCAAUUGCACUAGGUGCAAAGAGACUACAACUGGGGUCGGAACGGGGGUUGUCGGACCAGUUGUAUGUCCAUUACUAGACAUGCAACUUCAAGCAUUGGAACCCGACUGCAAUUGCACUAGGUGCAAAGAGACUACAACUGGGGUCGGAACGGGGGUUGUCGGACCAGUUGCAUGUCCACUACUAGACAUGCAACUUCAAGCAUUGAAACCCCGGCUGCAAUUGUACUGGGUGCAAAGAGACUGCAACUGGGUUCGGGACAGGGGUUAUCAGACCAGUUGCAUGUGCACCAGUAGACGUGCAACUUCAAGUAUUGAAACCCCACUGCAAUUGCACUGGAUGCAAAGAGACUGCAACUGGGUUAGGGGUGGGGGUUGUCAAACCAGUUGCAUGUGCAACGUUGAAACCCGGCUGCAAUUGCAUUGGAUGCAAAGAGAUUGCAAGUGGGUUCGGGAUGAGGGUUGUCGGACUAGUUGCAUGUGCAUCAGUAGACAUGCAAAUGCAAAAAAGAAAAAGACACAAGCAGCCGUGAACAUGAUGCAUCGUAUAUCCUAGUUGACAUGCGCAGAAGAUUUGCGUGUAAGCAUUUUCUUCCUUUUCCUCAAAUAUUCCAGCCAUGCAAAUGUAGAAAAAACAACAAGACACAGAGAAUUAUAUAGCUACGUAGUAAAAACAAGCCCAGCCGAGCCAACAUAACAUAUUAACACAAAAAAAUAGCACAAGAAAGAAAUAGUAAUAUAACAUAAAAAAAUGAAUGAGAUCAAAUUAUAUAUCAUCUAGAUGAGUUCUAGCCAAACCCUUUAAAAUAUUGAAAUUAAAUAAACUAUAUCAGAUGAUUGAUAUAUAUGAUUGAUUAUUGUGUAUGAGGAUACAAAUAUGUGACGCAAUAUGUAGAGGGCCGGCGAACGUUGUCCACGGCGCAUCGGCGGAUGUAUCGGGGACUGAAUUUACCAGUCCGGCUGUAGAUGCUCUCACAAAGAGAAGGGCUGGUCAGGCUGGGGCGCACAUGCCGCCGGUUUCCCCCGCAAACUGGAAGGUGCCGCUCGCCGAAACGAGUCACGACCACGAGUGAAACUGGCGGCACUUGCAGCCGCACAUGCUCUGUUUCGUUUCUCAUCCCACAGUUUUAUAUGUAUUGUGAUGAGAUCGGCACUGUGAUGUCUAACUUUAGAUCUUUAGUGUGUAAAGAAAGACGAGGGCGCAGUGGAGGAUACUACCAACAAACAUCAUCAAUCCUAUGGAUCCCUACCAUAGUUUUGGAUACAGUUCCGCACUCCAAGUCCAAACGAGUGAGCAGAGAGAGCACCCACGGUUUCCGCCCAAAACCGUGCGUGGCGGCCACCUUUUUGCUCGCUAUAAAUACAUGGCUAGCUCCUCGUCCUGGAGGCAUCAAGCAACAACAAGCCAGGCAGCGCAUCUCAUCUCACUCUAUCGCACUCCUUGUACUGAGCCGUUUCUGUACAAGAUCACGGCCAAGAUGUCGUCGACGGCCACCGUCACCGGCGCCAACCCCGAGAACAAGCUCGCCCUCGCCAAACGCUGCUCCAGAGGUAAUAAAUAACCAGGAUCCACAGCUGAAUCACGCUUUCCAAGUUGUUUACUGCUAGUCUGACAGUAGCAAUGCGUUUAUUUUGUCAAUCUUCCUCAGAGGCGACGCUCGCCGGAGCAAAGGCGGCGGCCCUCGCCACGGUCGCGUCUGCGGCGGCAACGGUGAGCUAGCUCCUUUGUCUAACAUGACUUGUUGAUUUUCGUUCACGUUGGACUCUGGUUUCCAUAACUGAACUACUAUUAAUCACGCAGCUGGCGAGCGUGAGGAUGCUGCCGUGGGCCAAGGCGAACCUGAACCCCACCGGCCAGGCGCUCAUCAUCUGCACCGUCGCCGGGAUGGCCUACUUCGUCGCCGCCGACAAGACCAUCCUCUCGCUGGCGAGGAGGCACUCGUACGAGAGCGCCCCCGACCACCUCAAGGACACCUCCUUCCAUGGCGCCGCCCCUCGUCCACGUCCACCGCCACCGGCGUUCUUCAGCCCAUGAGCUAGUGUUCCUGCUAAUGUAUGCAUCGUCGUCAGUGUCCCAAGAAACUGCUGCGGAAUGAAUAAUUGAAUAUCUGU
rnacentral:lncRNA from 1 species